rnacentral:rRNA from 1 species
UACGUAGGGGGAAAGCGUUGUCCGGAUUUAUUGGGCGUAAAGAGCGUGUAGGCGGCUAGGUAGGUCCGUUGUGGAAACUCGAGGCUCAACCUCGAGACGCCGAUGGAAACCAUCUAGCUAGAGUCCGGAAGAGGAGAGUGGAAUUCCUGGUGUAGCGGUGAAAUGCGCAGAUAUCAGGAAGAACACCCGUGGCUAAGGCGGCUCUCUAGUACGGUACUGACGCUGAGACGCGAAAGCGUGGGGAGCAAACAGG